UACGAAGGGUGCAAGCGUUAAUCGGAAUUACUGGGCGUAAAGCGUGCGUAGGCGGUUUGUUAAGUCUGCUGUGAAAUCCCCGGGCUCAACCUGGGAAUGGCAGUGGAUACUGGCAAGCUAGAGUGUGUCAGAGGAUGGUGGAAUUCCCGGUGUAGCGGUGAAAUGCGCAGAUAUCAGGAAGAACACCCGUGGCGAAGGCAGCUCUCUGGGACGGUACUGGACGCUGAGACGCGAAAGCGUGGGGAGCGAACAGG
rnacentral:rRNA from 1 species